CCUACGGGAGGCAGCAGUGAGGAAUAUUGGUCAAUGGACGAGAGUCUGAACCAGCCAAGUAGCGUGAAGGAUGACUGCCCGAUGGGUUGUAAACUUCUUUUAUAUGGGAAUAAAAUGUUCCACGUGUGGGAUUUUGUAUGUACCAUAUGAAUAAGGAUCGGCUAACUCCGUGCCAGCAGCCGCGGUAAUACGGAGGAUCCGAGCGUUAUACGGAUUUAUUGGGUUUAAAGGGUGCGUAGGUGGAUUGUUAAGUCAGUUGUGAAAGUUUGCGGCUCAACCGUAAAAUUGCAGUUGAAAAUGGCAGUCUUAGGUACAGUCGAGGUGGGCGAACUUCGUGGUGUGGCGGUUAACUACUUGACUCUCACGACGAACUCCGCUUGCAACGUCAGCUCCCUGGACUGCAACUACCACUAGGGCUCAAACGUGUGGGUCUCAAACCGACUUCACACCCCUGUAGUC
rnacentral:rRNA from 1 species